rnacentral:lncRNA from 1 species
UAGUUCAUGGUCGGCGUGAGGCGAAGGGUGGCAGGCAGUUUUCUGUUCGGCUUCUUUUAAGUGAGCAGAGUAGACUAGACGCUACUGCAGGAGGGUUAAUCGUUCUUUGGCACUGUUGCCUCAGGGGAGUUUAGGGAGGGGGUCUUCCUCAGCGUGAUCAGAGUCAGACACGGAAGCUGUCGCUUUCGUGACGAUCAGCCAUCAGCUAUCAGCUGAGCAGAACAACAGCUAAGAUCGAAAACACAUAGACAAGGGUCUCAGAAAAUUAGACUCCAAAACUAGAGGGCUCAAGAGCAUGAGUGUCUGAAAAUAAAAAAAUAAAAGGGCACAAUCUUGAUGAACACAAAAGGUACCUGAAACCCACUUCUGUCCGCAGAGAACACUUUUACUCACAGGCAAAGAGAAGGGCACCUGAGGACCAGCCUGAGCAGAACUCACGUUACACAAACACAGACCUGGAAAGUCCUGCUUGGAACAAGAAACAAUGACCCAGUAGAGGCAGAGGGCUGGAGACUGUGUUGGGACCACCAAGAGGAAAAGCUUCAGUGUCUCUAUGAUGUGGUUGUAACUGAGUGUUACAUAGUCUUGAAAAACCCAUCUUUCUCACCCUGGAUCAGCACAGCCCUAAUGUCAACAUUUCCUCUUUGAGACAGGGUCUCAUGUG